rnacentral:rRNA from 1 species
CCAAUAGCGUAUAUUAAAGUUGUUGCAGUUAAAAAGCUCGUAGUUGAAUUUCGGGAUUCUACCGUUGGUCGGGCUAUCCAGUCUGUACUAGCGUGUAGAAUUUCUACCUUCUGGGGAACCAUCAUGUUAUUAAUUUAGCGUGGUGGGAAACCAGGACCUUUACCUUGAAAAAAUUAGAGUGUUCAAAGCAGGCUUACGUCUGAAUACAUUAGCAUGGAAUAAUAAAAUAGGACGGUGGUCCUGUUUUGUUGGUUUCUGAAUCACCGUAAUGAUUAAUAGGGAUAGUUGGGGGCAUUAGUAUUCAAUUGUCAGAGGUGAAAUUCUUGGAUUUAUUGAAGACUAACUUUUGCGAAAGCAUUUGCCAAGGAUGUUUUCAUUAAUCAAGAACGAAAGUUAGGGGAUCGAAGACGAUCAGAUACCGUCGUAGUCUUAACCAUAAACUAUGCCGACUAGGGAUCGGACGAUGUUAAAUUUAAUUGACUCGUUCGGCGCCUUACG